rnacentral:rRNA from 1 species
CCUACGGGUGUCAGCAGUGAGGAAUAUUGGUCAAUGGCCGAGAGUCUGAACCAGCCAAGUCGCGUGAAGGAUGACUGCCCUAUGGGUUGUAAACUUCUUUUAUCAAGGAAUAAAACGAGGCCCGUGUGCCUUUUUGCAUGUACUUUAUGAAUAAGCAUCGGCUAACUCCGUGCCAGCAGCCGCGGUAAUACGGAGGAUCCGAGCGUUAUCCGGAUUUAUUGGGUUUAAAGGGUGUGUAGCGGGGUGGUGAAGUCAGUUGUGAAAGUUCGCGGGCCAACCGUAAAAGUGCGAUUGAUACUGGCUGUCUUGAGGACAGGUGAGGUAGGCGGAAUGCGUGGUGUAGCGGUGAAAUGCUUAGAGAUCACGCAGAACCCCGAUUGCGAAGGCAGCUUACUGACGUGUGACUGACAUUGAUGCACGAAAGUGGGGGUAUCAAACAGGAUUAGAUACCCGAGUAGUC